AUGGCGGCGGCGGUGACCGUGGACGAAGUGAUGAAGAUGCAGAGGGCGCAGGGCCCGGCGACGGUGCUGGCCAUCGGUACGGCGACGCCGCAUAACUGCGUGUACCAGGCGGACUACGCGGACUACUACUUUCGCAUCACCAACAGCGAACACCUAACUGAUCUCAAGGACAAGUUCCAGAGGAUGUGUGACAGGUCGAUGAUCCGAAAGAGGUACAUGCACGUGACGGAGGAGAUCCUUAAGGAGAACCCCAACGUCUGCGCGUACAUGGCGCCGUCUCUGGAUGCGCGCCAAGACAUGGUGCUCGGCGAGGUCCCGAAGCUCGGGAAGGAGGCGGCACAUAAGGCCAUAAAGGAAUGGGGCCAGCCACUGUCCAAGAUCACGCACCUCGUCUUCUGCACCACCUCCGGCGUAGACAUGCCGGGUGCCGACUAUCAGCUAACCAAGAUGCUCGGCCUCCACCCGUCCGUGAGGCGCGUCAUGCUGUACCAGCAAGGCUGCUUUGCUGGCGGCACGGUGCUCCGCGUGGCCAAGGACCUUGCAGAGAACAACCGUGGCGCGCGUGUGCUCGUCGUCUGCUCAGAGAUCACAGCCGUGACUUUUCGUGGCCCAUGUGACACCCAGCUAGAUUCCAUGGUUGGCCAGGCACUCUUUGGCGAUGGGGCAGCUGCCGUGGUCGUGGGCGCUGACCCCGACGUGCUUGUUGAAAGGCCACUGUUCCAACUUGUCUCGGCGAGCCAGACAAUACUGCCGGACACGGAUGGCUUCAUCAAGGGCCACCUCCGGGAGGUUGGGCUCACCUUCCACCUCCACAAGGAUGUGCCUGUAGCCAUCUCAAAAAACAUCCAACAAGCGCUAGAGGACGCCUUCGCUCCACUCGGCAUCGAUGACUGGAACUCCAUCUUUUGGGUGGCUCACCCUGGUGGUCCGGCCAUCCUUGACAUGGUGGAGGCAGAGGCCAAGCUGGACAAAAGGCGGAUGCGUGCCACCAGGCACAUCCUAUCCGAGUACGGCAACAUGUCCAGCGCUUGUGUGCUCUUCAUCCUCGACGAGAUGCGUAAGCGCUCUGCUGAGGACGGACACGCCACCACCGGCGAGGGCCUAGACUGGGGCGUACUCUUUGGUUUCGGCCCCGGUCUCACCGUCGAGACUGUGGUCCUCCACAGCGUCCGCACCACCGCUGCAUGA
rnacentral:rRNA from 1 species